rnacentral:rRNA from 1 species
UACAGAGGGGGCAAGCGUUGUUCGGAAUUACUGGGCGUAAAGGGCGCGUAGGCGGCCUUCUAAGUCGAACGUGAAAUCCUUGGGCUCAACCCAGGAACUGCGUCCGAUACUGGGAGGCUUGAAUCCGGGAGAGGGAUGCGGAAUUCCAGGUGUAGCGGUGAAAUGCGUAGAUAUCUGGAGGAAUACCGGUGGCGAAGGCGGCAUCCUGGACCAUUACUGACGCUGAGGCGCGAAAGCUAGGGGAGCAAACGGG